rnacentral:rRNA from 1 species
UACGUAGGCAGCAAGCGUUGUUCGGAGUUACUGGGCGUAAAGGGUGUGUAGGCGGUUGUUUAAGUUUGGUGUGAAAUCUCCCGGCUCAACUGGGAGGGUGCGCCGAAUACUGAAUGACUAGAGUGCGGGAGAGGAAAGUGGAAUUCCUGGUGUAGCGGUGAAAUGCGUAGAUAUCAGGAGGAACACCGGUGGUGUAGACGGCUUUCUGGACCGUAACUGACGCUGAAACACGAAAGCGUGGGGAGCAAACAGG